rnacentral:rRNA from 1 species
UACGGAGGGUGCAAGCGUUAAUCGGAAUCACUGGGCGUAAAGCGCGCGUAGGUGGCUAUUUAAGUCAGAUGUGAAAGCCCUGGGCUCAACCUGGGAAUGGCAUUUGAUACUGGAUAGCUAGAGUAUGGUAGAGGUGAGUGGAAUUUCAGGUGUAGCGGUGAAAUGCGUAGAGAUCUGAAGGAACAUCAGUGGCGAAGGCGACUCACUGGGCCAUUACUGACGCUGAGGUGCGAAAGCGUGGGUAGCAAACAGG